CCUGCCUGUCAGCUUCCUUUGAUUUUUCUCGUUCAUUAAAAAGUUAUCACUAACCGCCUUAAUGGCGUUCGCAUAUAUCUAGCCGUCUAUUCCGGAUCUCAUGGCUCAAGCCCGACCGUUGAUCUUUACCCUUUCUUCAUUAAAUACCGUCUCUUCUUUCUUUCAAUUUGAGCCAAUCUGUUCUCAUCUCUCAUUCUCUAUCUCUGGAAAACUCUGAAGAAAACUAAAUUUCUCAGAUCUGCUCUGCUAUGUUUCGAUUCGUUCAUUUCUUUCAUGAAAUUUAUACAAAUCUCUUAACGAUCUAUAUUGCAAUAUCAAUUUCUUCAGUGCUCUUCUGUGGAUAAACCCUCUUACUUUAAUUCAAUCUAAUCGACUUAUUUCUGUUGAGAUGGUUGAUUUGGUUGGUUUUCGAUCCAAGGAGUCGAAUCUGGAUAAUUCCGAUGACUGGGAUGAGAUGAAGGACAACAUAGGAAUUAGGUUUCCAGAUCUGAGGGCUAAUGAAAUCUGGACUAGAUUAAUUAGGCGGCUGGGCUGUUACCUGUCGCAGAGUUCGCGUGGUCGGAAUUAUUUUAGUGUGUUGGAAGAAAAACGCGUAGAAUUCUGCUGAAUCAUCAGACAGUUUGGCGGUUUGUAUGUACACCAUUACUAUGUAUUGGUUUUGUGUUUAGAUUUGAAUCAAGUAGAAUCAAGUGGAAAGAAAGUUGUGAGUGAAAAUACAUCGGACCUUUGCCAUGUUGGGUGCGCUCGCCUGGCAGGUCAACCAUGUUAAUAAAAAAGAAACCUUUUGUUUUUUGAGGAAGAUGGCACAGGUAUUUGCCUGGCUCUUCCUCCUGUGUGUCUUGCGCUCUCUCUUCUUUCUCUGUUUGUCUCUGUCUCUUUCUAUCCCCUGAUUUCGUUUCGACAUGAUUAGACAAUACAACGUACAUCAUAACGUUCGAUACCUGCACUGGUCUUUCGACUCACCAGCGUACAAGCAACACAAAAGGUAUAUUUUAAGCUAAAUCUACUUUGCAAUAUCUCCAAAUAAACUAAUUUUAUCAAUUUAUUAGUUUAUUAAUAUCCGUAGUUAUCGUAGUACGUGCAGCUUUUUUUUAUCGUCAAUAGUAUCUUUGUAGGUUCUUUCAUACAAUUAGAGUCUAAUCUAAGUCCUGCAAAAUCUAUUUCAAGUGUUGCAAAAAUAAUUACAGAACUUGUUUGUGGAUCUGAAUAAGUUUUUUCAAACUAAUUCUAAAUUUCUAUGGCCAAUAAUUUCUAACAAUUCAAAAAUGAUUUUAUUACAAAUACUCUGAAGCUGCCAAUGUUUACAUUAAACCAGUGACUGUUCCAAUGUUUAUUAAUCUUUUGCUCUCAUAUUAUGUUAAAUCUUUUUCAAUUAAAUGAUUUAAAAUAAAGGAUUCUAACUGAAUGUAACAUAUAAUUUUUUGUAUUUGAAUGAUUCAAUUGACAUUAGCUGUGCUGGGUUUUCAUAAUAUGCGCAAUUUAUUUAACAUUUCGUAUUGCUGAUUACCUAUCAUUAAGAUAUUACUAUUAAUGUCCGGCACUUAAGAGGCUUGGCUUACAAAUACUUCCUUUUAUAAUUAAUUGGAUUUUGAGGGGGUUGCAAUCUUUAUAAUACGGCAGUCUUUUAAAUCUAAUACACGGCAGUUAUCUUAAAACGCUCCUAGUUGUUAGUAUUGUUACCUUAAUAAACGUUCCCCGUCAUUUCUGCUCAAGUUUGUCUUCAAUUAUUUCGUUCCGUUAAGCUAAUGUUCUUAAUUCUUCAUUACUUUCAAGGAUUUCUAUACAUGUUACAAUUGAUAUCCCCAUAUGCGGCAAAUUGAUAUCCCAAAUGUAAGCCAUGUGGGAUAUCAUGUUAUGCUUAGGUUAGAUUGCUUGUAUAUUUUUUUGCUUGAAUGUAUAGUUUGCAAGCUCAUGUACGUGGAGACUCCAGUUUAAGAGAUGGACUUCAGUUUCAGAGAUGAACCCAGUGCGGGGAGCUGUUGUACUUUUGAUAUGAAGCCGUAGAUUAGCUGUAGAGAUGGAAGGGAUAGCAAGAGGUGCUGUUGCACAGUUGAGUGCAACCUUUUUUUCUGUUGUCAAGUGAAAGUUUCUUUUUGAUAACACAUCAUGUUUUGAUUGAGCUUUGCGAUUUGCCAUUCGUCAUUUUGUUUUUAUUGAUGAAAUGUUCUCGAGUAGCUCUGUUGCAAGCUUAUCUUGUUUCAAGCACACCGUGCUGUUUAGUGGCAACCUGUUUCUGGUGUCUUUGCGGAUUUGAAUGUUAGUUUCAUGGAAUGGAUCUGAGAAACUUAUGGAUUGAAGCUUUUGAAGCCUGCCUUCAAUAUAUGUUCAGUGUGGUGAGGAAUUCUUGAUAUCCAUCUUUGCUCGUAUUUUUAUACUAUUUUCAGUAUCUGUAUCUAAAGAUCUGAAGUUUAUAAGUUAUUAGCAUCGGUUUGUUUACGCUAAUUCAUAUAUUUGCGCUGUAAAUUAUGGUGGAAGUAUCCAUUCUUUCUGGAGUUGCAGUAUCUGGUUGCUGUUAUACUACCGAUUGCUAGUUUUGGUUGAUUUAUCUGGAGUAAUAAUGUGUUAAUGUUGAUCAUUUGCUAUUGGAA